rnacentral:rRNA from 1 species
CGCGCAGGCGGCCAGGUAAGUCGAAUGUGAAAGCCCCCGGCUCAACUGGGGAGGGUCAUUCGAUACUGCUUGGCUUGAAGGUAGGAGAGGGAGGCGGAAUUUCAGGUGUAGUGGUGAAAUGCGUAGAUAUCUGAAGGAACACCAGUGGCGAAGGCGGCUUUCUGGCCUAUUCUUGACGCUGAGGCGCGAAAGCUAGGGGAGCGAACG